rnacentral:rRNA from 1 species
GAUGAACGCUGGCGGCGUGCCUAAUACAUGCAAGUCGAGCGAACAGAUGAGGAGCUUGCUCCUCUGACGUUAGCGGCGGACGGGCGAGUAACACGUGGAUAACCCACCUAUAAGACUGGGAUAACUUCGGGAAACCGGAGCUAAUACCGGAUAAUAUAUUGAACCGCAUGGUUCAAUAGUGAAAGACGGUUUUGCUGUCACUUAUAGAUGGAUCCGCGCCGCAUUAGCUAGUUGGUAAGGUAACGGCUUACAAAGGCAACGAUGCGUAGCGGACCUGAGAGCGUGAUCGGCCACACUGGACCUAAGACAAGGUCCAGACUCCUACGAGGUGGAGCAGUAGGGAAUCUUCCGCAAUGGGCGAAAGCCUAACGGAGCAACGCCACGUGAGUGAUGAAGGUCUUCGGAUCGUAAAACUCUGUUAUUAGGAAAGAACAAAUGUGUAAGUAACUAUGCACGGCUUGACGGUACCUAAUCAGAAAGCCACGGCUAACUACGUG